rnacentral:tRNA from 1 species
UAGGAGGAUAGCUUAAAAGGGUAAAGUUUUGGUCUCCAAAACCAAUGAUUAAAGGUUCAAGUCCUUUUCCUCCUGG